rnacentral:rRNA from 1 species
UACAGAGGGUGCGAGCGUUAAUCGGAAUUACUGGGCGUAAAGCGCACGUAGGCGGCUUGGUAUGUCGGGGGUGAAAUCCCCGGGCUCAACCUGGGAACUGCAGCCGAAACUGCCUUGCUCGAGUAUGGGAGAGGGAAGCGGAAUUUCCGGUGUAGCAGUGAAAUGCGUAGAUAUCGGAAGGAACAUCAGUGGCGAAGGCGGCUUCCUGGUCCAAUACUGACGCUCAGGUGCGAAAGCGUGGGGAGCAAACAGG